CAUUUGUCCGUAUCCCCCAACUCAUUUCCUUGCCGUCUGUCGUGACUCGGGAGCUAUGGCCUCGCUCUUCUUUUCCUCGUGUUCAUCACUCAGCUCGUUAAAACCCUAGCCUUUCUUCCUCGUUCUCUACACCUUCCAAUGGCUUCUCAAAACCACAGUCAUAAUCACAAUAACGAUGAUAAUCACCUCAACGGCGACUAUUCUGUGUCUCGCGUGCCCAAAAAGCCCAAGCUUGGUUCCUUCAUUACUGACUCCGAAAUUCAAUCCGAAUUCGCUCACCAUGACCCCGCCGUUGCUCGGAUUAACAACGGUAGCUUCGGUUGCUGCCCCGCUUCUGUAAUUGCCGCUCAGCAAAAAUGGCAGCUGAAAAAUCUCCGCCAGCCGGACUCUUUCUACUUCAACGAACUCACGAAGGGGAUUCUUCAAUCCAGGACUAUUAUCAGGGAAAUUAUUAAUGCUGACCACGUCGAUGAGAUUUCCAUAGUCGAUAACGCCACCACGGCUGCUGCUAUCGUCCUUCAGCAGACUGCCUGGGCCUUUCAAGAAGGAAAAUUUCAGAAAGGGGACGUCGUUGUUAUGCUUCAUUACGCUUACGGUAGCGUCAAGAAGUCAAUGGAGGCCUAUGUUACUCGCGCCGGAGGCAAAGUUAUUGAGGUCCAGCUGCCUUUUCCUGUGAGUUCUAAUGACGAGAUUAUCACUGAAUUUAGGAUAGCACUGGAGAGAGGAAAGGCUGACGGUAGCAGGGUUAGGCUAGCUGUGAUUGAUCACGUCACUUCAAUGCCAAGCGUGGUGAUUCCUGUUAGGGAUUUGGUAAAGAUUUGUAGGGAAGAAGGCGUUGACCAAGUUUUCGUGGACGCAGCUCAUGCUAUUGGGUGUACUGAUGUUGAUGUGAAAGAGAUCGGAGCAGACUUUUAUACCAGCAAUUUGCACAAAUGGUUCUUUUGCCCACCUUCCAUUGCGUUUUUGUACUGUCGGAAGUCGCCUAGAUGCUCUGAAUUGCAUCAUCCCGUGGUGUCCCAUGAGUAUGGUAAUGGGUUGGCCACUGAAAGUGCUUGGAUUGGCACGAGAGAUUAUAGUGCACAAUUGGUGGUUCCCGCAGUUUUGGAAUUUGUCAGUAGAUUUGAAGGCGGCAUUGAAGGAAUCAAGAAGAGGAAUCAUGAAGCUGUUGUGGAGAUGGGUCGAAUGUUGGCCACGGCAUGGGGAACCCAUCUUGGUAGUCCUCCGGAUAUGUGCGCGAGCAUGAUUAUGGUAGGGUUACCUGCUUGCUUGGGAAUAUUGAGUGACUCUGAUGCUAUGAACCUGAGAACACAUUUGAGGGAUGAAUUUGGCGUUGAAGUGCCUAUAUAUUAUCGGCCACCAAAAGAUGGGGAAAUUGGAUUAGUAACUGGAUAUGCCCGAAUUUCUCAUCAAGUUUACAACAGAGCUGAUGAUUAUUAUAAGUUCAGGGAUGCAAUUAAUCAACUUGUGCGCAAUAAGUUUACUUGUGCCCUCCUUUCUAAUUGAAGAGGUGUUCUCUGAACUCGCUUGGAUUAUAACAUCCGCUUUGUACAAGAUGUAGAAAAUAGAAAUCCACUGGGUCAUGCAUGGCUUGACUUAUCUAGAAUCCCCCCAGCUGCGGAACAUGUUAGCAUCAACUUGGGUGUUUCUUCCAUUCUAAAAGCUCUCGUGCUCAAGUGAAAAUAAGCAACUUAUAUCCUAUGCAUGGUAGGGGGUCUAGGAAUCUUUCAGAUGAAUAACGGGAAUAAUUCAGUAGCUUACAAGUGUGGGGCCAGUAAUGAUGGUUUUGGUACCAUGGAGUUUUUAAGUUGUAGAGAUAGUGCAGCUGCAGCGAGUGCUCGAGUUAGUGUUGUGAGUUGAAUUACUACCGUGGAAGCCAAGUUCACGUGGAUUCUAAAUUUUACAAAUCCGUCAAUUUGACUAAGGGGGCGUGAUUGACUGAUUGGCUCGCCUGCGGAGCGGAGAGACGUAGGGAAGAUGGGAGGCAAGCAAUCAACAGGCCAUUCUUGGGAUAUCAUUUGUCAUGAAAAUGGAGCAUGGGAAUGUGGGUUCAUGAAGAAGAAAUUAGUUUUGUUUACAUCCAUAGCAUAGCUGAGAACCUUAAUCUUUGUUAGAGAUGGAUUUAUUGAUUUUCAUGAAAAUGGAUUGAAAUGUAAUUGAGUUUGCUUGGGAUGAUUUUAACAAUAUUAAUGAUCUUGAUUAUCA